AAAAGACUCUAACUUACAACUCCACCAUUUUAUAAACCAACUGCCCAUUCAAACAAACUAACAAGCAACCAAUACUGACAAGUUCAAUCACGUGUUUCAGUGAUAGGUCGAACUCGCGUGGAACUUACCAGCAUGGCUGGCGUAUUAAUCGUUUUGGGGUCAGGAUUCGUUCUUUCAAUGAUAACACUAAUGGCUGAGAUAUACUACGAUAGAUACAGUCGACUUCAAAAUAAACGCCUCUUUGAUUUGCAGAGWAAGUCGUUUAGAAAGAGGUCGAUAGAACCAAUGGAAAUCGGAAAAGAUAAUCAAAUGCCGAAUGUUGAAGGCAUCGACGCUGACUUGGGCAUUUCGAAAAUACAAACAACAACAGAUCAUGAACAUUCUUUAUAAAAGAAAAAUAAAGAAGUUCGUGUCAUGACGUAGAAAUAAGACGGAGAGGGACUCCUUUAUGUAUGUCUCGCGAAUCUAGUGAUGAUUGUAUCUGUUAGGUAAAAAAUCAGUAAUCUUGUAUAUUUUAGCGAGCUAUACAAAUUUUGGCUUUUCAACAUACGGCAAUUAUCAUGAGAAUACUACUGACCUUUUCACUGAUCUCGGAUGGAUAAGAAUACGAAAGAAACAUCAGAUAUAAGAAUGAUGAGUACAUGAAGACUUUAAGCAGGUUUAUUCGCCAUAGUGACCACUUGUCAGUAGACCUUCAAGCAUUGGAAUGCGCUGUGGAAGCGCCAGAACUUGAAAUCGAACCAAUGAUGGAAACGCUUACUGUGGCUGGACCAGGAAGGAUCAUUAGUCAAGCUGAGGUGGUCUGGCGUGAGAAAGUAGGAGGGUUGUUUACAGCUCACUGCGAGCCAUCAACAGAAGAGUCUACCUCACUUGCAGUUUUGUCUAGUGAACUUCUCAACUAACCACAGUCAGGAAGUUCUGGACCAAAACGAAACGAUGAUGUAUUCGCAUUUGACCAUGAAAGACCACCGGCUCAACGUCAUGAAUAAACUUGAUACCAAUAAUA